rnacentral:sRNA from 1 species
UGCAUCUGCAGCCCAUGAGGAAGAGAACCUCCGGGGGCAGGGAGGUUCGACUCGAGCGAAGCGAGAGAACGUUGCGCCAGCAACGGCCCGCAGGGCGAGCCACGAAGUGGCGAGUAAUCCUCUGUCACCGACCA